GUGCGCUAUACUCCACAAUAUCGCGGUAAGGAGUAGCGUAGAGCUUCCUCAGACAGAGGAAUUGCCUGAUGAGGAGCCAGGGGUUGUCCGACACUUCGGUGGGGGGAGUGUUACAAGGAGGGGGAGCCAAGUCAGGGCAAGCAUUGUUGCUGAAUUUUUCAGCUGAAAGACCACACAAACUGAGGACGACCACAACGGCAAGCACCACAUGAUGCACCAGCUCAGCACCCUUCCCCUUCUCACUCCCCCUCCACUUCCCAGUCCCCCUCCCCUUCUCACUCCCCCUCCCCUUCUCACUCCCCCUCAGCUUCCCAAUCCCCCUCAGCUUCCCAAUCACCCUCAGCUUCACAAUCCACCUCAGCUUCCCAGUCACCCUCAGCUUCCCAGGCCCCCUCAGCUUCCCAGGCCCACUCCACUUUCCACUCCCCUUCUCAGCCAACCUCUCCUUCUCUUUCUGUGACCCCUUCUCCUCCUUCCCAUACCCCUUCUCCUUCUACUUCCAACUCACCUUCUCAGCCCCCCUCACCCUCUAUUGGCCUAACAUUUUCACCGCCCCCCUCGCCCUCUCAAUCAGACCCACCCUCUGAAAUUACAUCCCCAAUCCAACCUCCUUCCCCCAUCCAGCCUCCUUCCCCCAUCCAGCCUCCUUCCCCCAUCCAGCCUCCUUCCCCAAUCCCUCCUCCUUCCCCCAUCCAGCCGCCUUCCCCCAUCCAGCCGCCAUCCCCACCCAGUGAAUGGGCAGAGGAAGCCCCUGAAGACAGUUCAGGGAGUCUUCAUGUUGCCGAGGAAAAUGUUGCAGUUGGAGAUCCCACAAGUUUUGGAGGCAUUCUUUACACCAUGCGCCAACACCUGCAAGGAUUAAUGCAUUGUGUUGACAAUUUGCAAAAAUAUG